GAAUGAAGAAGGAGUAGCUCAACAUGAAAAUCUGGGCAUCUGGCCUUGAAUUGUAGUUUGAAGAUGCAUUUGCCAAUGGACAUGAUAAUGAAAGCCUUUUGGGAAAAAGCAUCAACGAGGGUGAGAAUCCUUCUUGACAUUUCAAUUGUCCAUGUACGGUGUGCAUUGAAGAUUCACGUUCCUUGGGAUUUGAACGCAAACUUGUUGGUAAAUUUCAUUUAAAGCUAAAUAUUGGUUUGAGACCGAUAGAAAACAAGUACCAUGAGGGAAAAGUGAAAAGGACUUUGAAAAGAAAGUUAAAAGUGCUUGAAAUUGCUGAAGAGGAAGCGGGUGUAUUUCGCACACAAUUUUCAAGAUUGUUGUGCAUAUCUAUGAUACCUUGUUGUCUUGAUUUAAUUGCAGCAACAAGUUAUAUUUGUGAAUGCGCAAUGUUGCUUGUGUUUUGUGCCUUCAUCGAUUCACAGCCAUAGAAACAACCUAAACAUGAAUCUUUGCUCUUGUGCAAACGAACAUUUGGGUUCAGAUUUAGCUUGUGGAUCGUUUUAUAUUGUUGAUUG
rnacentral:rRNA from 1 species